UAAUUUGACAGUGUUGUUGUUGUUGAUUCUCUCCAUCCCUCUCCUCUCUGCCUUCACUUGAGCCUCUCCCAGAUCACUUUAUUUUUCACUCCUUUCCCACUUCCUGACUCCUCUCUAAAGAAAAUAAAAAAAUUCCCCUUCUUUUCCCUUAUUUCAGACAAAAGAAAAAAAUCUGGUUCUUUUUUUAAACCAAAAAAAAAAAUCUGUUUCAAUAUUUCUUAUUUGUCGUUAAAAAAAAUUGUUAAUUUCGGCAAUUGUUUUGUGAUUAUCUCUGUUUGAAUUAUUUCCAAUUGCUUUACUUCUCUUCUGUUUUUCAAACUUAAAAGGAGUUUUUAAAAAGUGGUUGAUGUUGCUGGGAAUGUUGGGGGUGCGGUGAGUCCUGUCCUUCAAGUUGCCGAGUGGUUGGCAGCUCCGAUUUGGCGUCAGUUUAAGUACUUGCUCAACUACAAGACCGACUUUGUCAAUCUCCAAGAUAAAGUUGAUAAGCUGAAGAAUACAAGAGACCAAGUUCAACAUAAGGUCACUGCAGCUGAAAGAAAUGUGGAACAGAUCAAACAGAAUGUUAAGAACUGGCAGGAGGUUGUGGAGAAGACGAUUACUAAAGCAGAGCAGUUGAUUCAACAGAAUGCAAACAACCCUCGAUGUUUCAAGGGAUUGUGUCCCAACUUUAUCAUUUACUACAAAGUAAGAAAGCAUUCAAAUUAAAACGGGAUGAUAUUGAUCCACUCCUCCAGCAAGAAAGGGAAUUGGGUCCAGUUUCCAAUCCUAGUAAUCCACCGGAGAUCUGGCUUAGAACUAGUGAAGAUUACUUGACUUUUGAAUCAAGAAACUCCACUAUGAAGAAUGUAUGGGAUGCUUUAAAUGAUGAGAAUGUCUUCAUGAUUGGUUUUUAUGGGAUGGGUGGUCUUGGGAAUACCACCCUCGUGCAAGAACUUUCAAAAGCCUUGUUCUCUUAUGCGGCUAUAAAUAUUGAUUUUUGUGACUCUGAUUUUUUUAUCAUUAUGUAUAUUGAUUUGUUUAAAUGGUUGAAAUAAAUAACAUUUGCCCAAAUAGUGCAGAGAACUGAAAGGGAAGUGAACAAGACCCUUUAUUAUAAUAUAAUUUGAGGCUGCUGAGGGGAUAUAUUGAUGUAUUUCUAGUCUGCUGAGUUGCUGAGUUACUGGCCUGCCAAUUUGGAAACCUGGUGCACCAUCAACUUACCCUAUUACAGCUCCUCCAGCAGCGUUUUUAUGCAUUGUAGUCUGCCUGGAAUUUUUGCCUAGAGAACUUACCUGGUUUUCUGCAGCAAAGUUUUUUUCUCAAGUCUGGAACUGCCUUGCUAGGUUUCCUGCUACAAAAAUUCUGCCACAGAAUUUGCAAAUUGUUGUGGGUAAGCCAUUCCAGGAGUAAAAUUCAGCAUGCUGUAGAGAUUUGGGUGUCACUGUUCCUCGACUGCUCCUGCUCAAUUCCAAAUGCCCAGGAUUGGCCUACUGCUCUUUACACAGCCUGCAAACUCCAAAGUUACAGGUCAAAGAAGCGAUAUAGAAGAGAAACCAAAAAAUUUACACAGGUUCUUAUUUUGUCAUAAGGUCUUAACAUGCCUUAUUGGGCAUCUUGCAACAUACAUUACUGUGCUAGUCUGUCUUCUUGGAUAUAUUUUGUUGUUGAUAUUUUUGUGCUUUUUCUGUUGGCUUUUGGACCUACUACUCCAACAAGUUGAGUUAUAUUUAGUUUUUGAUUUUGCUA